rnacentral:rRNA from 1 species
AUUGAACGCUGGCGGCAGGCCUAACACAUGCAAGUCGAGCGAGCGGCGGACGGGUGAGUAAUGUAUGGGGAACUGCCCGAUAGAGGGGGAUAACUACUGGAAACGGUGGCUAAUACCGCAUACUGUCGGAUGAACCCAUAUGGGAUUAGCUUGUAGGUAAGGUAACGGCUUACCUAGGCGACGAUCCCUAGCUGGUCUGAGAGGAUGACCAGCCACACUGGAACUGAGACACGGCCCAGACUCCUACGGGAGGCAGCAGUGGGGAAUAUUGCACAAUGGGCGCAAGCCUGAUGCAGCCAUGCCGCGUGUAUGAAGAAGGCCCUAGGGUUGUAAAGUACUUUCAGUGGGGAGGCGUUACCGGCAGAAGAAGCACCGGCUAACUCCGUGCCAGCAGCCGCGGUAAUUC